rnacentral:rRNA from 1 species
AGUGAACGCUGGCGGUAGGCCUAACACAUGCAAGUCGAACGGCAGCACAGUAAGCGCUUUCUCUUACGGGUGGCGAGUGGCGGACGGGUGAGGAAUACAUCGGCAUCUACUUUUUCGUGGGGGAUAACGUAGGGAAACUUACGCUAAUACAGCAUACGACCUACGGGUGGAAGCAGCGGAUCUUCGGACCUUGCGCGAUUCAAUGAGCCGAUGUCGGAUUAGCUAGUUGGCGGGGUAAAGGCCCACCAAGGCGACGAUCCGUAGCUGGUCUGAGAGGAUGAUCAGCCACACUGGAACUGAGACACGGUCCAGACUCCUACGGGAGGCAGCAGUGGGGAAUAUUGGACAAUGGGCGCAAGCCUGAUCCAGCCAUGCCGCGUGGGUGAUGAAGGCCUUCGGGUUGUAAAGCCCUUUUGUUGGGAAAGAAAAGCAGCAGGUUAAUACCCCGCUGUUCUGACGGUACCCAAAGAAUAAGCACCGGCUAACUUCGUG